CGGAGGAUGCGAGCGUUAUCCGGAAUCAUUGGGUUUAAAGGGUCUGUAGGCGGGCUAAUAAGUCAGAGGUGAAAGCGCUCAGCUCAACUGAGCAACUGCCUUUGAAACUGUUGGUCUUGAAUGGUUGUGAAGUAGUUGGAAUGUGUAGUGUAGCGGUGAAAUGCUUAGAUAUUACACAGAACACCGAUAGCGAAGGCAUAUUACUAACAAUUAAUUGACGCUGAUGGACGAAAGCGUGGGGAGCGAACAGGAUU
rnacentral:rRNA from 1 species